UACGUAGGGUGCGAGCGUUGUCCGGAUUUAUUGGGCGUAAAGAGCUCGUAGGCGGCUUGUCGCGUCAACUGUGAAAACCCGUGGCUCAACCAUGUGGUCUGCAGUCGAUACGGGCAGGCUAGAAUUCGGUAGGGGAGACUGGAAUUCCUGGUGUAGCGGUGAAAUGCGCAGAUAUCAGGAGGAACACCGGUGGCGAAGGCGGGUCUCUGGGCCGAUAUUGACGCUGAGGAGCGAAAGCGUGGGGAGCGAACAGG
rnacentral:rRNA from 1 species